GACUCCAAAACACUAACCAACCUU
rnacentral:siRNA from 1 species